AAUCGCGCACAAUUUAAAUGGCGUCAGAAGUCAGUUUGUUAUGGCAGUGAGGAUGCGUCACACACACAUACACGAAUGAAUUACAGGUGCCUCCUACCGCGAACGGAAACGGCAGAAAAAUAAACUAUGCAUGUCGCGGUAAACUAUGGAAUUGAUAAGGAGAGCAGCAGAUAGAGACUGAGAGCUGAGGAAGAAGAGGAGGGAGGCCGACUUUGAUCUCUCCGCUCGUCUGCCACGCUGUUUCCCUUCAAGGCUUCCUGGACAGAAAGCAGCCAAUGGAUUCCAGAAGUUGAGGUGACCUCUUCAAUACAGCAUUUUAUCCGUGGACCUGUCAGUGUGGACUGCUUCAAAUACGACACAGGGCCCGUCAGAUAAGGAUCACAAAGACAGAGACAUCGCUCCUAAAGUGAUCGCUCUGCCUGUGUUUUUGUUUAACGAGAAAUCCAAGGGCUGGAUUGGCAGCUCAUAGACUCCCACUAAUUGAAUGUGAUAGAUUCAGUCAUUAAGUUAAUUGGCAGCUGGUUUUGAUCCUGAUCCGUUGCACCCACUCAAGAGGGUUUAUGGCAUCAUUUUUCUUGUCCAUAAUCCAAAGAUCAGUGAACUUGCACAGGCUUGUCAGAACAGCAGGCAGUUUAAAAGCUGUGCUGGAAGCGAUGUCGCAACAGCAAGAAGAUUCAAAUAGUCAUUUAACACCCAAAACCUCUAUGGACUAACCAGAAUAGCAGCCAUUAGCGUGUAGAAACUUGACAAGUUUGAACAAAACUGAAAAGAAAAAAUGCUGUGGAUUUGUUUUACCAAUUCUGAUAAGUGAAUUUCUACGAAGGUGCAGUACUUCUUUAUAAAUGGAAUAUUUUUGUAGUUAUGGCAUAGAAAACCUGUGUAAACCUGCAUG